GGGCGACUUUUUCAGAUUCUCUCUCCUCCUGUGGCACUCAGUUCCUUUUGCGUGGUCGCUGGGGAGAACCUGCCACUGUGCUGACCGUGCUCUGCCUGACACGGUGUCCAUGACAGUCAGUCUGAGCGUGAAGGAGGAGGGUUUGAAGACCCUAGUCAUGGAGAGGUGGCCCUCUUCCUUGAGUGGACAAAAUUUGGAUAAUCUUACCUUCUCCUGAAGCACUGGAUGCUGCUCAGAGAUUUGGACCAACUUUUAGAAGGGAUAGAGAGUUUGACUGAGACAGUCUCUAGUUAUCACAUGGACCCUAAAAGUGGCACAACAUAUUCUGUUAUUUCAACAACAAGGAUGAACUUGGAGGACAUUAUGCUGAUUGAAAUAAUUCAAGUACACAAAGACAUAUACCUCAUCAUCUCACAUGUCUCAAACAGCUCAGAUGGAAGGCUGAAAGUGAUGACUGCUUCAAUUUUUGCUGUUCAACCAUUUUUCUUGAUCUUGUUUUCUGAUCUCAUACA